rnacentral:rRNA from 1 species
GACGAACCGUGCGAACGUUAUUCGGAAUUACUGGGCGUAAAGCGCGUGUAGGCGGGUCUUUAAGUCAGGGGUGAAAUGCCAAGGCUCAACCUUGGAACUGCCUUUGAUACUGGAGAUCUUGAGUCCGGGAGAGGUGAGUGGAACUGCGAGUGUAGAGGUGAAAUUCGUAGAUAUUCGCAAGAACACCAGUGGCGAAGGCGGCUCACUGGCCCGGAACUGACGCUGAGACGCGAAAGCGUGGGGAGCAAACAGG